AUUGAACGCUGGCGGCAUGCCUUACACAUGCAAGUCGAACGGUAACGGGCCUUCGGGUGCCGACGAGUGGCGAACGGGUGAGUAAUGCAUCGGAACGUACCUUUCAGUGGGGGAUAACGUAGCGAAAGUUACGCUAAUACCGCAUAUUCUGUGAGCAAGAAAGCAGGGGAUCGCAAGACCCUGCGCUGAUUGAGCGGCCGAUGGCAGAUUAGCUAGUUGGUGAGGGAAAGGCUCACCAAGGCGACGAUCUGUAGCGGGUCUGAGAGGAUGAUCCGCCACACUGGGACUGAGACACGGCCCAGACUCCUACGGGAGGCAGCAGUGGGGAAUUUUGGACAAUGGGGGCAACCCUGAUCCAGCCAUGCCGCGUGAGUGAAGAAGGCCUUCGGGUUGUAAAGCUCUUUCGGCCGGGAAGAAAUCGCACAGGCUAAUACCUUGUGUGGAUGACGGUACCGGAAUAAGAAGCACCGGCUAACUACGUGCCAGCCGCCGCGGUAAGAC
rnacentral:rRNA from 1 species